rnacentral:rRNA from 1 species
CCUACGGGUGGCAGCAGUGAGGAAUAUUGGUCAAUGGGCGGAAGCCUGAACCAGCCAAGUAGCGUGCAGGAUGACGGCCCUACGGGUUGUAAACUGCAUUUAUACGGGAAUAACGCGCCUUACGUGUAGGGCUUUGCAUGUACCGUAUGAAUCAGGACCGGCUAAUUACGGGCCAGCAGCCGCGGUAAUACGGAAGGUCCGGGCGUUAUCCGGAUUUAUUUGGUUUAAAGGGAGCGUAGGCGGCAUGUCAAGCGUGCUGUGAAAUGUCCGGGCUCAACCCGGGCCUUGCAGCGCGAACUGGCGUGCUUGAGUCCGCGGAAAGCAGGCGGAAUUCGUCGUGUAGCGGUGAAAUGCUUAGAUAUGACGAAGAACCCCGAUUGCGAAGGCAGCUUGCUGCAGCGGAACUGACGCUGAUGCUCGAAAGCGCGGGUAUCGAACAGGAUUAGAUACCCCAGUAGUC